UACGAGGGGGGCGAGCGUUGUUCGGAAUUAUUGGGCGUAAAGGGCGCGUAGGCGGUUGGAUAAGUCUUGUGUGAAAUCUUCGGGCUCAACUCGAAGUCUGCACGAGAAACUAUCUGGCUUGAGUGUGGGAGAGGUGAGUGGAAUUUCUGGUGUAGCGGUGAAAUGCGUAGAUAUCUGGAGGAACACCGGUGGCGAAGGCGGCAUCCUGGACCGACACUGACGCUGAGGAGCGA
rnacentral:rRNA from 1 species